GCACCUAUGGCUCAAUUGGUAGAGCAACUGACUCUUAAUCAGUGGGUUCCUGGUUCGAGUCCAGGUAGGUGCA
rnacentral:tRNA from 1 species